AGCCAAUAUCUGCAAGGAGAUCCAGAAAUGCCUAGGGUUUACAUCUCCCUGGCAAGGGCCCUACAAAUGACUCCUGGUACAGAAGUUUAAAGUCUCCAGCUUCCUUGCCCCAGUCCAGACCGCUCUGAGAUCCCUCUGAAAAGUGGCCAGAGUGGCUCAAGAGAAGGCUGGAGACAGAGGCAAACAGAGCCCUGACCACAUAGGCUUGGCGCAACAGGCAAAGAGCUUGCACUUAACCCGAAGACAGGAAUGUCAGGCCUCUGAGCCCAAGCUAAACCAUCAUAUCCCUUGUGACCUGCACGUAUAUCCAGAUGGCUGAAGUAACUGAAGAAUCACAAAAGAAGUGAAAAUGGCCGGUUCCUGCCUUAACUGAUGACAUUACCUUGUGAAAUUCCUUCUCCUGGCUCAGAUGCUCCCCCACUGAGCACCUUGUGACCCCCCGCCCCAGCCCGCCAGAGAACAACCCUUUGACUGUAAUUUUCCACUACCUACCCAAAUCCUGUAAAACGGCCCCACCCCUAUCUCCCUUCGCUGACUCUCUUUUCAG
rnacentral:lncRNA from 1 species